UGCAUUGAUAUCAUAAGGGAAAUUGGUC
rnacentral:piRNA from 1 species